UCGCCCUUAGAGUUUGAUCCUGGCUCAGGAUGAACGCUAGCUACAGGCUUAACACAUGCAAGUCGAGGGGAAACGACAUCGAAAGCUUGCUUUUGAUGGGCGUCGACCGGCGCACGGGUGAGUAACGCGUAUCCAACCUGCCCACCACUUGGGGAUAACCUUGCGAAAGUAAGACUAAUACCCAAUGACGUCUCUAGAAGACAUCUGAAAGAGAUUAAAGAUUUAUCGGUGAUGGAUGGGGAUGCGUCUGAUUAGCUUGUUGGCGGGGUAACGGCCCACCAAGGCGACGAUCAGUAGGGGUUCUGAGAGGAAGGUCCCCCACAUUGGAACUGAGACACGGUCCAAACUCCUACGGGAGGCAGCAGUGAGGAAUAUUGGUCAAUGGACGAGAGUCUGAACCAGCCAAGUAGCGUGCAGGAUGACGGCCCUAUGGGUUGUAAACUGCUUUUAUAAGGGAAUAAAGUGAGUCUCGUGAGACUUUUUGCAUGUACCUUAUGAAUAAGGACCGGCUAAUUCCGUGCCAGCAGCCGCGGUAAUACGGAAGGUCCGGGCGUUAUCCGGAUUUAUUGGGUUUAAAGGGAGCGUAGGCCGGAGAUUAAGCGUGUUGUGAAAUGUAGACGCUCAACGUCUGCACUGCAGCGCGAACUGGUUUCCUUGAGUACGCACAAAGUGGGCGGAAUUCGUGGUGUAGCGGUGAAAUGCUUAGAUAUCACGAAGAACUCCGAUUGCGAAGGCAGCUCACUGGAGCGCAACUGACGCUGAAGCUCGAAAGUGCGGGUAUCGAACAGGAUUAGAUACCCUGGUAGUCCGCACGGUAAACGAUGGAUGCCCGCUGUUGGUCUGAAUAGGUCAGCGGCCAAGCGAAAGCAUUAAGCAUCCCACCUGGGGAGUACGCCGGCAACGGUGAAACUCAAAGGAAUUGACGG
rnacentral:rRNA from 1 species